GGGCCCGCACAAGCGGUGGAGCAUGUGGUUUAAUUCGACGCAACGCGAAGAACCUUACCAGGACUUGACAUACUCGGCAAAGCUACAGAGAUGUAGUGGAGGUUAUCCGAUGUACAGGUGGUGCAUGGUUGUCGUCAGCUCGUGUCGUGAGAUGUAUGGUUAAGUCCAGUAACGAGCGCAACCCUUGUCCUUAGUUAUUAACAUUUAGUUGAAAACUCUAAGGAGACUGCCACUGAUCAAAAGGUGGAGGAAGGUGGGGAUGACGUCAAAUCAUCAUGCCCUUUAUGUCCUGGGCUACACACGUGCUACAAUGGCCGGUACAGAGAGUUGCAAUACGGUGACGUGGAGCUAAUCUCAAAAGCCGGUCUCAGUUCGGAUUGAAGUCUGCAACUCGACUUCGAUGAAGCCGGAAUCCGCUAGUAAUCGCGAAUCAGCAAUGUCG
rnacentral:rRNA from 1 species